AUACACCUUGAUUUUCAAACGUGUGUUUGUGUGUGGAUUAGAGGGGCUAGCAGUAGUAAUCCCCAGACCACAUGGACGUCAGGCAAUCCCAUUUACGUUUCAACUCGAGGGCCCGUAGGCUGAUGCAAUAAACCUGAACUUCUGUUGCAACCAUUUCCAGGACCAUAUAGCUCAGAUUGUUGGAACAUGAAGACAGCUUCUAUGUAAAACAAUCCAUUUGAGAGUGACUCUAUAAUCAACCUCUACAUCACAUUGUAAUUCAUGUAUGCAUUAAACAGAUGGGGAAGGUGACUGGUGGGGAAUAAUUCACCUUUAUGCAACACUUGUUCACACAUGUUGCCAUUCCCUGUAGAGAAAAACCGUCUGUCACUCAAAGUACUCACUGAAAUACUCCUUUAUUCCAAAUGCAGGACCAGGUCAGCCAAAUAAAACAUGCAUAAGUUGUU